rnacentral:tRNA from 2 species
ACUUCCAAAGGAUAACAGUAAUCCAAUGGUCUUAGGAACCACUAAUCUUGGUGCAAAUCCAAGUGGAAGUA